CGUAGGUGAACCUGCGGAAGGAUCAUUGUCGGCGACCCGUGAAAACACGACCGGAGCACACGUGAUGGAACACUGCUGGAGCGGGAGAUCCGCACUAGCCAACCGGCCCACUGUCCUCGCGUCGCUUGGUGCGUUGGCUGCGGGCUGAUCACGGCGUGGGAUGACGCCAAGUAACAUGCGAUGCGGAGGCGGCGGCGGCGGCUCGUUGGAGCGUGCUGCUUGCUGCCGACGUGAUGGAAAUCAACAUGACUCUCGGCAACGGAUAUCUCGGCUCUCGCAUCGAUGAAGAACGUAGCGAAAURCGAUACGUGGUGUGAAUUGCAGAAUCCCGCGAACCAUCGAGUUUUUGAACGCAAGUUGCGCCCGAGGGUCCUGCCCGAGGGCACGCCUGCCUCAUGGGCGUAAUAAGCCCAUCAACGCUCUAAGUGUCCCAGCCGUGUCACAUGUGACGGGCGCGGCCAGAUGCGGACGAUGGCCCUCCGAGCCGGAGUGCACGGUGGGCCGAAGCGUGCGUUCGUCGGAUGCGGUCGGAGCGGCGAGUGGUGGGAUCCUGCGCAUGCCGCCUCGUGCCCUUUUCUGGCGUCGGGCGCUUAGCUUCGACCCUGUACGAGGAGCUCGUCGUCGGCGCGUCCGACUUCGAGGAACCCUUGGACCAAUACCCCAGGUCAGGCGGGGCUACCCGCCGAGUUUAAGCAUA
rnacentral:misc_RNA from 1 species